AGGAGUGAGAAAUGGUGUUUCCCUCUCAUGAAUAAAAACUGUGUAUCUAGAUGUUGCUGACAAAGAGCUGAAGUUACUAAACCAAUGAUAUACUCCCAGGGAAAUAUAGGUGAAAAAGAUACUAUUUUUUUUUCUUCUUUUUCCCUUUCCUAGCUCUUUAUCAGCGUUCAAUUCAACCCAAGGAACCAGGAACCGAGGAGGAAGGAAGUAAUUGACAUUCAAAGCCUCUAUUUUUAGACACCUUUACACUUUCUUUUGCUUCUAACUAGCAAGGAUUUUUCCAAACAAGCUUUUAAUUAGCAGGUCAACUCCAUCUAUAUCCAAAACCUUUCUCAUCUGGCCUGACCUCCCUCAUGAGAGUUGCUGUUCUACUAGCUGACUGAAAUUUGAUGUAUCCUCUCACCUCAACUUCCACAAGUCAAAACACGUCUGUGCUUUCUGGUCACCCACCUACCAAAGCAAUCCUCCAUUUGCUAAUGUGUGCCAAUGGUCGCUUGACUUCAACUUUGAAAGAAUCCUUCAAUGACAGCUGAAGCGAGACAUUUAGCAGCCACUGUCCUUUCUGUAUUCUGUGCCAGGCACAAGGACUCCAUUCCUCUUGAAAGUUUUAUCAUGUACAAGGCUAUUAACAUUAUGAGGAUAGGCUGAAGCAUGAAUAAAUCCUGAGACUUACUGAUGAUGUCAUUAUACUGGUCAAUAAAAUACAUAGAGGGAAGGGCUUCCCAUGCUACCAGGUUCAGUUAACUAAAUCAGGAUACACGAGCAAUUAAGUCUUUAAUUAAGAUGAAUGAGUGACAUUAGCCCUCCUUAAACUCUGCUCGUCAGCAUUUACAAAUAGAAAAAGACGGAUGCCUCCUUCCCAAGAAAUGUGGGUUUUAUUUUUCAUUCAUUGACAUAGUUUCGUUCUUACCACUUUGUAAACAAAGUCACCAAAGUAAAGGUGGUCAGAGAUAUUUUAACAGAUUCAUUUCAUCAGUUAUAUCUCUUACUAUUUAAAGAUGCCAUUUUAGAAUUUAUUAGGGUUUUUUUUUUUUUUACAAAGCUAACUUUACCAUUAUUAUUAUUGAACACAAUUGCUUUGCCUUUUCCCCCAUAGCACACAAGGAAGAUUCAUGUCAGAAUUUUUUUUAAAGAGUUUGUUUAUUUAUUCAUGAGAGACACAGAGAGAGAGACAGAGAGAGAGAGAGAAGAGAGGCAGAGGAAGGGAGCCCAACAUGGGACUUGAUCCAGGGUCCCCAGGAUCACGCCCUGGGCUGCAGGUAGGCACUAAACCACUGAGCCACCCAGGCUGCUCACCACGUCAGAAUCUUACAGACGAAUACAACACAGCAUGGAAAUAAUAUCUGUUUGUUCUUCCAACAGCUAUUCAUUGUUAUCUGCUACUUUGCCACUAACUUAGCUUAGCAGUGGAAAUCUAGGGAUACACGUAUGGGUUCUCUUUGGUCCUAGCUAGCCUUAUGAAUGUAGACAAGGUGAGUGUUUCUGGACCUCCAUUUCCUUAUCUGUAAAACUUGAUUACUGGAGCAAUUGGUCCUGUAAUUCUCUCAGUGAUAUUUAACACAGGAUAAAGGAAAACAAAGAUAUGAUUCAUUCUAGGAACAAAGUUUCUAAACCAUAACUGUGCAAGAACAAUAUGAGGUGAUCUGUAUUUGCAAUUUAAAAACCUCUAAUAGC
rnacentral:lncRNA from 1 species